CACCCAUCAGAACCACUCUUGGGGGACAACUUUCCUCAAGAACACGAUGACCAGAGGUCAGUAAGCGUCUUCGACCGGAUAGGGAACGAUCCUAGCAGUAGGGUCCGCCCUUCAAAAGGGCCGGUCCGGUCAGACCACGAAGAAGAUUAUGUUCCUCCUCCUCCUAGAAAUAGGAGGGAGAGGAGAAACUUAGUCGAUUGGGGGAGCCGGGGGAAAGCACCUCCUUUACCCCAAGACAUCCAAGAUGAUCAAGGAUCGGAGGGGCCCUGUCGAUCUUAUGAGAUUGACGACAAUGACGAUAACCUCCCUUUCUCAAGGGAAAUCCGAAGCUUCCCAAUGCCAACUAAUUUCAUGCCCCCUAAGAUCCCCAAGUAUGAGGGAAAAGGGGAUCCGGAGAAGCACCUCACAAAGUAUAUGACACAAAUGAGUCUUAGGGGAGCCUCACCUGCUCUAAAGUGCAGAGCCUUCCAUUUAACACUAGGCGGAGCCACCGAGGUGUGGUACAGCAGGCUUCCUCCCCUAAGCAUCAGAAGUUGGCCGGAGUUGAAGAAAGCAUUUUUGAACCAGUACCUCUCACGCAGGGAAGCAGAGGCGCCAAUCCAACGCCUGCAAGACAUGAGGCAGGCCCCUGGAGAGGCGCUGAAAAGCUAUCUCGCCAGGUUUACAGAUGAGAUUACUUACUGCGAACAGGUCACUGAUAGGGAAGCCCUUUCAGCCCUGAAAGGUGGUCUCAACAUGAACACUUUGUUUUGGAGGGACGUGCGCAACAAGAAUCCCUCCACAUACGACGAGCUGGUGGAGAUGAUGAGGGUGGGAAUUGUUAGUGAAGAAAUGAUUGAUCAUCGUAACCGUGUCUCGCAGGGACUCCCUCCCCCACAAAAGCAGGUAGGUCGAGGCCCUGCAGCGCACCUUGUUACUUAGCAAUGGACCCAAGCAGGGCAUACCAUAGCUCCCACAUCCGGACAGGCCUUAGCUUCCACCAUAUUGAACGCAGUGCCGGUGUUGGCUUAUGAUAACGCACCCGCUGAGGCAGGACCAUCUGGAAGAACUGACAACAACAAGAAGAAGAAAAAGAGGCCAAACAGGCCUUUGCCAGGAGCAAGAUUUUGUACUUUCCAUCAACUAUACGGGCAUGACACCAGCGAGUGUCGGGAUGCCAACCGGCGCCCUGAUCGAAGCAACCCCCACACUUCCAGCAGAAAUGAGCACCCCCGCAGAUCCACCUCCCCGAGGAGGGAAGGAAGGGGUCACCAAGAACAGUCUCCUCGCAGAAGAGAAUCAAAUCUACACUGUCUGGGAUCCUAUAUUCUGUCCUAAGUCUACUCAGGUCAGCCUCCCUCAAUUUUAAUGGGUAGUCCGAUGCCCCCAAAUGCACAGAAGUAUUCGGGGGGCUAUCUGGUCGCUUCCAUAUGUUCUCCCCCCCAUUAUUGCCCCAGCUAUUUCUGAGGAGGUCGCCACAAUGGGCUCGUCCACCCUCACUAUUUCUAAGCCCCUCCCCAAACCAGAACUCCCUUCCGAGGCCAUUCGAUAAGAAACUUUUUACAGUCCAAAUGGGUACUGAAACUUACGAGUUUGGAAGUUUUUCCUAGCCGGAAAUGGUGCAGGAUUGCCGGAUGUAUCGUUCUCUCUCGUCGGAGUUGCUUGCAAAACGCCGAAAAUCGCCGAAAAUUUGGGAACAAAUUUUGGUUUUCUUCUGGUAAAGAUAGAAACUCUGAUAAACCCACAAAGUUCGCCUUUUAUAGGAAAGACAAGUCCAAUCUCCACCGUUGAAUUCAAAUGCGAUCAAUCUAAAUCGUUCGUCGCAUCCUCAAUCCCGGUCGUUGAAAUAAAACGCCAGAUUUGAUCUACGCCCAAGAUGUCGCUGUGGCUUUCACACUAAAUUGAAACGCGUCGCCUCGGUUACAAAUAGCCGUCAAUAAUAAUUACUAGCCGCAGCAGCCUUUUAGGAGAAUGGGCAUGGUAUCCAACUGUCACCUUGGAAACACGCAACAGUUGUCAAAUCAUUGGACUUUUGGGUCGCCUCGGAUGAUCUCCUCCCCCAACUUUACAAAGCUUGGACGCACCUGACGCGAACGCCCCAUUGGCUCAUCGCCUCGGUCGCUGUGUUUCCUCCCAUGCUUUACAAAGUUUCAGUCAUCUCCCCACGCGUCGACCUUUUCCUGCCAACGCGUCGGUACGAGACGAGUCCCUAAAAUUUUACGAAGCUUGGACGCACUUGACGCGAACGCCCCACUGGCUCAUCGCCUCGGUCGCUGCGUUUCCUCCCAUGCUUUACAAAGUUUCAGUCAUCUCCCCACGCGUCGACCUUUUCCUGCCAACGCGUCGGUACGAGACGAGUCCCUAAAAUUUUAUGAAGCUUGGACGCACCUGACGCGAACGCCCCACUGGCUCAUCGCCUCGGUCGCUGCGUUUCCUCCCAUGCUUUACAAAGUUUCAGCCAUCUCCCCACGCGUUGACCUUUUCCUGCCAACGCAUCGGUGCGAGACGAGUCCCUAAAAUUUUAUGAAACUCGGACGCACCUGACGAGAACGCCCCAUUGGCUCAUCGCCUCGGCGCUGCGUUUCCUCCCAUGCUUUACAAAGUUUCAGCUACCCCCACGCCGCGGUCCGGUCAGGAAAACAAAUCCACGUAUAAUAUAAAUAUUCACUGUCACGCCUCAUUUUACGAGCUUCGAUACCGAAGUGUCAUCUCACCACCGAGGCGAAGAUCAAAUAGACCACUCCGACCUUCCCGAAGCUUCUCCGAAGUGAUACAUCGAUUCCUACUAUUGAUCUGCCCAAGUAUCCCACCUCCCAGGUCGGGUUCAGGUGGACCCCGGUUAGAAGAUCCUCCGCCAAUUUAAGAUUUGUUCUGCAUAUAAGGUUUAAAUUGAUUUAACAUCCCCAUGAGGCUAUUUGAUGUGACUUAUCAACUUUAUGUCAAUUCAACUCGGGGGAAACAAACUGUCCGCCCACUCUACAAGCGCGGCUGAUUGACGCCGAUGAGCAGACGCUUCAUACCGUCAGAUGUAUACACGUGUUCCACAUCCCACGGUUCAUACCACCUAUAAAUACCCAAAGUUUGGCAAGAGACAAAGGUAAUGAAACUCUCAAUACAUAGCAUUCCAUUACAAGUUUAUAUAUUCUCCUCCCCCUUUAUUGAUUGAUUUGUAUAGCCCCAGGGCACUGCUCCGACCACCCAAACUUGACUUGACCGUCUAAGUGUAUACGGCCGCCACCUCCAUCGGUUCCGGCCGUGUGCGCCUGACCAUUUGUUCAUUUCGUAGGGAGGAAUACGUGGAGUAGCUACAAAUUGGGCACGUGGAGGAGCCAUUUUUGGAGGUCAACAACUGCAUUAAAGAAAAGGGAGAGGAAGGACAAGAGAAAGGCAGGAGAUUCUGAUAAGAAAGAGGAUUCAAAAAUCCAUUCUGCAGCUUCUAAGAUCACAAGUUAAACUAGAUUCCCUUGGGAAGUUCUUAUAGUUCUGUUUUCUUUGAAAUAGCCGUAAGGUUGUAUGGUCUUUUAUAUUCUUUCAUAUAUUCUAAAAUUGUUUUAGAACUUCGAGUUGUCUGAAAAGAAUUUUUUUACAUUAGAUGUUGAAUAUUUGGUAAGAUACAGAAGUCCAU
rnacentral:lncRNA from 1 species